GAUCACUCGUUUCAGAUCACACACAUCCAGAGAACGUCGUCACAUUUACAGUCCUGACUUUGCCUCGAAUCCACACUUUCCAGCCUCGGUGGGAAAAUGUGUAUCCAUGUGAAUGUAAUUAAUCUCAUGGGACAGGGGAAGCGCAUCAAUCUGUGCGACAAUGAAGAGCAGAUGAAGCAGAUCACUGCAAAGCAGCUGAAGGAGAAAAUUAUUGAAGAACUACUAAUGAGAGGUGAAAACAUCGGGAUUAUCCACAAAGGGGAGAAGCUGGAUGGAGAGUAUCCGCUGUCAUCUUAUGGGAUCCAAAACAUGUCCGUCAUUCGGACACUGCAGAUUGUGACUGGGGGAUAAAAAUGUGAAAUGGUCCUGAGGGGGUUCUCGCUGCCCAGAUGCUACACAUCAAUCAUUUUUCUUAAUAAAUUGUUUAAGUGAA